rfam:[Clostridium] acidurici 9a chromosome, complete genome.
GUGAUAAUAUCCUAAGGAAUUAUACACAAAACUUUUGUCAAAAAUAAAAACAAAUAAUUAACUGUUAUUAUCUGCUUUGAGCCUUGAAGGACAGAGACAGUGAU